rnacentral:rRNA from 1 species
AUUGAACGCUGGCGGCAGGCCUAACACAUGCAAGUCGAACGAGUGGCGGACGGGUGAGUAAUGUCUGGGAAACUGCCUGAUGGAGGGGGAUAACUACUGGAAACGGUAGCUAAUACCGCAUACCAUCAGAUGUGCCCAGAUGGGAUUAGCUUGUUGGUGGGGUAACGGCUCACCAAGGCGACGAUCCCUAGCUGGUCUGAGAGGAUGACCAGCCCCACUGGAACGGAGACACGGCCCAGACUCUUACGGGAGGCAGCAGGGGGAAAUAUUGCACAAGGGGGGAAAGCCUGAUGCAGCCAGGCCGCGUGUAGGAGGAGGGCCUUCGGGUUGUAAAGUACUUUCGGCGGGGAGGCGUUACCCGCAGAAGAAGCACCGGCUAACCCCGUGCCAGCAGCCGCGGUAAUAC